GAACUCUAGGCUCCUCCAGCACCAUAUCUGCCUGCGGGUCACUUUGCUUCCCACCAUGAUGCUAAGUACCGAACCUCUGAAACUCUCCUGCUUCCUGACCUGCUUGAGUUCCAGUCCUGACUUCCUUGGUGAUGAACAGCAAUGUGGAAAGUUGAAUCAGUCAAAAACAAGAAACUAUGACAGACUCAUGAGUUCUCAGACUUCCGAGCUGCUCCAGGCUCCUGUGCUGAGCCCCACCCCAUCUCCAGAACCUCAAAAGGGCAACCAACUGACUCUAAAGUAUCAGAUGAAGCUGAACCCCUAGAGGUCAGUUCAUGGGUACUUUUCACCACCUAUGAGAUAGACAUGCUUUGCAAAAAGUAGUCAUCACCCAGAACUCUGUAUCCAAGAAAUCAAAGAGGGAGACCCGGAGCAUUACUGAUGUGAGGGGCUGCUCACCCUGUUCAGGAAACAGUAGAGCUCUUCUGUCUACCGUGUUCUACCUUGAUGGGGUGAUCUUGGAGAGCUGCCUGGCUCCUCCUGGCAUAGUUGCUCCCUCCCACCCCAUGGGGGAGCCUGAAGAGACGGAGAAGGAAAAGCAAGUGUAGCUGAAAAGGCCGCGACUACGAAAAUCUGUCAGUGUGGAAGGGCUAUACCUGCUCCUGAGUUCACUGCUCCUUGGCCAAGGUGGCAGACUGGAGGUUUGCAGGUGUCUUCUGUGCCCAACCAGAAGUUCCCAGUGAAGACUUGAUGUUCAGACACUCCGGGGACUAGUCUGCACCACUCAUGCCACUGAAUCAGAUGGCACUAGCACUGAGUGGUCAAAACUGUUUGCAGACACCAGGCAAAGCAGAAAGGUGGAUGGAAGACAGCAUCACAAAUGGGAAUACAAAUAGCUUUAAAUAG